CCUUCUGCAUUGGCAGGCUCUACAAACAGAGGGAGGUUCUGCAAACAGCGCAAGUGCAUUAAGUAGCUUCAGAUCCUCUAACCAGCAGCUUGCUCUAUACACAGAGAACGGUGCAGUCUUCAGGGAUCUGGUGAGCAGACGGCUACAGGAUUUGUACCCCAGGAUUAAAGCCAGAAACCAAAAGACCAUCUGCCGGUACCCACAGGAGGGAGGAUGCAGGUCAUUUUCAUGUGCAGUGACAUCGUAGGAACGGUCACUGCGCAGGAUCAAGCUACAAUGAAGAGGAGGGAGGCAGUCUGCGCGCACCGCCAUUUUCUAGGAACUGGGAAGCCCCCCCACCCCUUAGGAAGAUCCAUCCCUGUGGAACCUUGCCCAGGCUUACCAGCCUUUGCUGAGGUUGAUCUAUUGUCCCUCCUUGUCCCCAUCAAAAUAUCCAGCACUCCACCUUCAGGGAGUAGACUUGACCCUCAAAUAGCAAGUUCAGCCUUCCCAGGUCUAGGUUCCCUGGGAGGUCAAGAUUCGUCUGGUUCCUUAGUACAGAGGGCUAGCUGUGAGUUGGAAUCCCCCUAUGAGCUUUAGAAUCAGUCAAGAGGAAUUGGGCCCCUUCCCUUCAUCCCUCUUCUUUUCCCUUUUUGUCCCAGAGCUCAGCUCUGACUCAAAAGUUUUUCCAUUUACCAUCAACAUGGAAACUUGGCUCCUCACGUAGGUAUAUUAUCCCCCUUUUGUACAUGGUCUUGUUGAUCCAAACUCCCUUUCUGUGAAAGAGGCCUGUGGGGCUCAAGAAGCCUGGUCAGCCAGCCAGGCUAGUCCCACAUACCUCAGAACCAGUUUAAUAAAGGCUCUAUGUCAUUCUUUU
ensembl:lncRNA TDRG1 testis development related 1